UUGGANAUGGGCGAAGCCUGAUCCAGCCAUGCCGCGUGUGUGAAGAAGGUCUUCGGAUUGUAAAGCACUUUAAGUUGGGAGGAAGGGCAGUAAGUUAAUACCUUGCUGUUUUGACGUUACCAACAGAAUAAGCACCGGCUAACUUCGUGCCAGCAGCCGCGGUAAUACGAAGGGUGCAAGCGUUAAUCGGGAAUUACUGGGCGUAAAGCGCGCGUAGGUGGUUCAGCAAGUUGGAGGUGAAAUCCCCGGGCUCAACCUGGGAACUGCCUCCAAAACUACUGA
rnacentral:rRNA from 1 species